GGACCACUCAGUGGAUAAAGAACUGGCUGGAUGGCCGCACACAAAGAGUUGUGGCCAACAGCUCAAUGUCCAACUGGAGACCAGUAACGAGUGGUGUCCCUCAGGGAUCAGUGGUGGGACUGAUCUUGUUCAACAUCUUUGUCGGCGACGUGGACAGUGGGCUUGAGUGCACCAUCAGCAUGUUUGCUGACGACACUGUUAUGUGGUUUGGUUGAUACAUUGGAGGGAAGGGAUGCCUUCCAGGGGGGUCUGGACAUGCUUGCGAGGUGGGCCAAUGCCAACCUCAUGAAGUUUAACCAAGCCAAGUGCAAGGCCCUGCACCUGGGUUGGGGCAAUCCCAGGCACUGCUACAGGUUGGGCGGAGAAGAGAUUCAGAGCAGCCCUGCAAAGAAGGACUUGGGGGUGUUGGUUGGUGAGAAACUGAACAUGAGCUGGCUUCAGUGUGCGCUCGCAGCCCAGAAACCAACUGUGUCCUGGGCUGCAUCAAAAGAAGCGUGACCAGCAGGUCGAAGGAGGUGAUCCUGCCCCUCUACUCUGCUCUCGUGAGACCCCACUUGGAGUACUGUGUACAGUUCUGGUAUCCUCAACAUAAAAAGGACAUGGAGCUGUUGGAGCGAGUCCAGAGGAGGGCCACGAGGAUGAUCAGGGGGCUGGAGCACCUCCCGUAUGAAGACAGGCUGAGGAAAUUGGGGCUGUUCAGCCUGGAGAAGAGAAGCUGCAUGGAGACCUCACAGCAGCUUUCCAGUAUCUGAAGGGGGUCUACAAGGAUGCUGGAGAGGGACUCUUCAUCAGGGACUGUAGUGAUAGAACAAAGGGGUAAUGGGUUUAAACUUAAACAGGGGAAGUUUAGAUUGGAUAUAAGGAAGAAGUUCUUUACUGUGAGAGUGGUGAGGCACUGGAGUGGGUUGUCCAAAGAAAUUGUGAAUGCUCCAUCCCUGGAAGUGUUCAAGGCGAGGCUGGACGGAGUCUUGGGUGACAUGGCUUAAUGUGUAGUGUCCCUGCCCAUGGCAGGGGGGUUGGAACUAGAUGAUCUUAAGGUCCUUUCCAACCCAAACCAUUCUAUGAUUCUAAAAUACAGGUGGUCUUGCUAAUAGUUUUUCAUUUUGCUGUGUGUGAUGCCUUAACUCAGUUUUACAUGAGAAAUACAUUAUUUUGUUAAGCUUAUAUAAUGUUAUUUUAUUAAGCUUAUAUGCAAGAGUUCUGAGGGUUUUUUUAAGACUUGUUUUCUUGUUUUGGUUUUAUUUUUAAAAAUAAUUUGCUAUUAAAGACAACUUUUACACAGAUA
rnacentral:lncRNA from 1 species